ACUUACGACCACACCGGCCUGAGUACGCCUGAUCUCGUCUGAUCUCGGAAGCCAAGCAGGGUCGGGCCUGGUUAGUACUUGGAUGGGAGACUUCCUGGGAAUACCAGGUGCUGUAAGCU
ensembl:rRNA 5S_rRNA 5S ribosomal RNA